rnacentral:rRNA from 1 species
AGUAACACGUGAGUAACCUGCCCUUGACUCUGGGAUAACCUCCGGAAACGGAAGCUAAUACCGGAUACGACGUACGGAGGCAUCUCCUGUACGUGGAAAGAACUUCGGUCAAGGAUGGACUCGCGGCCUAUCAGGUAGUUGGUGAGGUAACGGCCCACCAAGCCUACGACGGGUAGCCGGCCUGAGAGGGUGACCGGCCACACUGGGACUGAGACACGGCCCAGACUCCUACGGGAGGCAGCAGUGGGGAAUAUUGCACAAUGGGCGAAAGCCUGAUGCAGCAACGCCGCGUGAGGGAUGACGGCCUUCGGGUUGUAAACCUCUUUUAGUAGGGAAGAAGCGAAAGUGACGGUACCUGCAGAAAAAGCACCGGCUAACUACGUGCCAGCAGCCGCGGUAAUACGUAGGGUGCGAGCGUUGUCCGGAAUUAUUGGGCGUAAAGAGCUCGUAGGCGGUCUGUCGCGUCUGCUGUGAAAACCCGAGGCUCAACCUCGGGCCUGCAGUGGGUACGGGCAGACUAGAGUGCGGUAGGGGAGAUUGGAAUUCCUGGUGUAGCGGUGGAAUGCGCAGAUAUCAGGAGGAACACCGAUGGCGAAGGCAGAUCUCUGGGCCGUAACUGACGCUGAGGAGCGAAAGCGUGGGGAGCGAACAGGAUUAGAUACCCUGGUAGUCCACGCCGUAAACGUUGGGAACUAGAUGUG